UACGUAGGGUGCGAGCGUUAAUCGGAAUUACUGGGCGUAAAGCGUGCGCAGGCGGCGCGUUAAGACAGGUGUGAAAGCCCCGGGCUUAACUUGGGAAUUGCGCUUGUGACUGGCGUGCUGGAGUGUGGCAGAGGGAGGUGGAAUUCCACGUGUAGCAGUGAAAUGCGUAGAGAUGUGGAGGAACACCGAUGGCGGAGGCAGCCUCCUGGGCCAGCACUGACGCUCAUGCACGAAAGCGUGGGGAGCAAACAGG
rnacentral:rRNA from 1 species